rnacentral:rRNA from 1 species
UACGUAGGUCCCGAGCGUUGUCGGGAUUUAUUGGGCGUAAAGCGAGCGCAGGUGGUUUAAUAAGUCUGAUGUAAAAGGCAGUGGCUCAACCAUUGUGUGCAUUGGAAACUGUUAGACUUGAGUGCAGUAGAGGAGAGUGGAAUUCCAUGUGUAGCGGUGAAAUGCGUAGAUAUAUGGAGGAACACCGGUGGCGAAAGCGGCUCUCUGGACUGUAACUGACACUGAGGCUCGAAAGCGUGGGUAGCAAACAGG